rnacentral:rRNA from 1 species
AACGCGAAGAACCUUACCUACUCUUGACAUCCAGAGAACUUAGCAGAGAUGCUUUGGUGCCUUCGGGAACUCUGAGACAGGUGCUGCAUGGCUGUCGUCAGCUCGUGUUGUGAAAUGUUGGGUUAAGUCCCGCAACGAGCGCAACCCUUAUCCUUUGUUGCCAGCGAUUCGGUCGGGAACUCAAAGGAGACUGCCAGUGAUAAACUGGAGGAAGGUGGGGAUGACGUCAAGUCAUCAUGGCCCUUACGAGUAGGGCUACACACGUGCUACAAUGGCAUAUACAAAGAGAAGCGACCUCGCGAGAGCAAGCGGACCUCAUAAAGUAUGUCGUAGUCCGGAUUGGAGUCUGCAACUCGACUCCAUGAAGUCGGAAUCGC